AGGCCUGGAUCCGAGUUGUUUGGUCUGCCUCGAGCAACUUGGGGCUUGGUACAAAAUCUCUAAGCCACGGCAUGACAUGUCCAAAUUAUAGGAGGUCACGAAAGCCAUGCCAAGCCUACACAAGGCCCAUUUGGGAGUCAAGCCAAGCCAAGCCAAGUCAUGCCAUGCUCGUUUAUGCCCAAGCCUACUAUGAUAUGCUCGUUUAUGCCCAAGUCUACUAUGACAUGCCCAUUUAUGCCCAAGCCUAUCUAGGACGAGGGAGGCAAGCCCACGCCAUGACGUUUAUGUCCAAGCCAAUUAUGAUAUGCUCAUUUAUGCCUAAGCCUACUCUGACAUGCCCAUUUAUACCCAAGCCUACUAUGACAUGCCCAUUUAUGCCCAAGCCUAUCUAGGACGAGGGAGGCAAGCCACGCCAUGACAUGCCCAAAUCUACUCAAGGCCCAUUUAGAGUUAAGCCAGGCCAUGCCAUGCCAUGCCUAAGCCUACUCCCUUUAUGGCACGUGGUUUCUCAUGGACACGCUUCAAUGACCACAUGCCCGCCCAUUUCAUCCAUGUGUCAACACACGUCAAACACAGUUGCGCACAAGCAUCGUGGAUGGUAUACCGAAACCCAUCCAUCACAAGCCACGCCACGCGGCCAGCCAGUAAUGUGGACCCAAGACACUAGGCCAAAUGGGGCUUAUUAGUGGGUUGUGGUGUGGAAGGACAGGAUUUUUGUAAGAUCUAUAGAGGCCAAAUGUCAAGUGUCCGAGACGUCUUGGGAGUCGAGGAUCAAAACUUGAAUUUACGUUUCCCGCGCAUAGGCAUGCAUGUAACGGAUACCUCAUCUCAUCAUAUCAUCACCCAAUGCCUUUAGACAUAGGAUGCCAACAUCACAAAUCACCUUAGACCAAGUCACCUCAGACCUGUCUCCACAACUUUCACCUUAUAAGCUUAAGGCAAACCCAAGGCCAUGUCUUGUUUGAACCCGUUAACCAAAAAUAGCUUGGUAAGAAAUCGAGAAAGUAUGCCUCAGAACCACUGCCACCUUUACGUUUGUUUAGCUUAAGGCUCAAACGAUGACAGUGAGAAAGGGUUCUGACCUUUGCUAAAAUUAGAGUCACGGGUCACUUUUUACCCUCAGUCUUCAACCUCAAUUUUAUUUAAAGGAAGCUACGUACAAUGGGAUUGAGACACAACACACACAGGCAAAAACCACUACCAAGCUCCUCAUGCUUAACCGUCUCUAGACCACCAUCAUCGUACCUAUCCUUCCAGACACCCUAGAUCAUCACCACCAUACCCAUCCUUCCAAACACCCUUCAGACACCUCUAAACACCACAACCACCAUACUCUACAAUCCCUCACCCACAUUAGACCCUUUUCAUGAUGAGCAUGCAUUCUGUUACACUUGCAAGAUCCUAGCUCCCACACCCUACAUACUACUAAGUCCUCUCAGUAUUGAUAUUACACACGCUUGGAGCCUCCCCAUCACAACAAAGUCUAUCUUAUGAAGACUUUGGGCCUAGUCUCGUAAUCUUAAAGGGGGAAGAUCAGAUCACCAAGCCCAACAACGGCAAGCUCUUAGAUCCUCGUUCAAUUUCUACCCCAACAUAAAUUGGCGACUUCACUGGGGACUAGGCCGUGAUUCAUUCAAAUGGCUCCUUCAUGCAACAAAAGAAGCAAGGGUGCUAACAGCACCAUGCCUUCAUAAGAUGGGGGAGAGCGUCAAGAGCAGUCUGCCUCUAGGCAACAUGAGUCUAGGAAUCAUGAUAACAUGCAUGAGAAGGAGACGGUUAUCACUGCCGCCGAUCUCCUAUGUACUUUCAAUACUUUUGGAGAAACCCAAAUUGGAGAAACCCAAAGGGAGCUAGUUGAAGCCAUGAAGGAGAUAAUAGGCUCCCUCUCAGCUAAGAGCCCCCGAGAGGAACCAGACAAGCACUCUCAAAAAGCUAGAGAUAAGAACUCUCAUGAGGAGUUAGCCCCAGGGGCAGUAGUUAGAGAAUCCGAGCAAAAGGGAUCAAGAGCUGAACAGAAGAAUACUUCUUUUGUCACUCAAGAAGAUGUGCUUGCCAUGCUAGAAAGAGAGUUGCAACGCACCAAUGAAGAUUGGAAGUACCUCCCCCAACCACCUUUAAUCAGCAAGCUUGGUCAAUCGCCCUUAUCCCAAUGGUUAUGAAACACCAAGCUUUGUCCUCUUUGAUGGGAGAAAAGGAAGUCCAAGAGAGCACAUAAGCCGUUUCAUUGAUGCUCUUGGACCUCACGCUGGUGAUCAUAAUCUCAGGCUCCGUGAGUUCUCAAAAACCCUCACCGACCGUGCCUACACUUGGUAUACUACUCUAGCACCAGGUUCUAUUCGUACUUGGGAAGAUAUGGCAGACAAGUUUUGCAAAAAAUACUUUGAGCAUAAGGAGAGAGUCACUUUGGCUCAACUCAAUAGCACUCGCCAAAAAACAAACGAAAAUCUAGUUGAAUUCGUGAGACGUUACAGAGACCUUGCUUUGGAUUGCUACGAUGAGAAAGGAGAAAAAGCCUUGGUGGAGAUCUGCGUUGGUAACAUGCUACCUGAAUACAGGGUGUACCUUGAGAAUGCAAACAUAGGUACCUUUACACGCUUGAUGGACGCUAUAAAAAAGACAAGAAUGUCUGUCAAGGUUGUUAAUGAAAAUAGAACAUGGAGGUCAGAGAAGGAUACACAUCAAGCAUUGGCAAUUGGUGAAAGGCAUUCAAACUCAAAUAAGCGCAAGGAUAGAGAAACUUAUCCUGCUUUGCCAUGCUGCGACAAGGAACUUAAUGCCAUCUUAGAUACCAUGUUUGCUGAUGGUGUAAUCAAGCCACCAUGCCCAUACAAAAACCCAUCUAGAGAAGAUAGAGCACACCCACGCUACUGUAGGUAUCACCAGCUUGUCAGUCAUCCUUCAUCUGCUUGCCAAUUCUUAAGAAAGUUUCUUAAUGAAAAGAUCCAGGAUGGGACUUUAGCUAUACCCUCUAAGAAGCAAGCUAUCAAUGAGGAUCAUUUGCCUCGUCGAUGGCCAGGAAAAGAAACAGUCGCUGUCAUAACUUGCUUUGAAGACUAUAUGGAGGAAGGAAGCCGCCCUAGUGGCCAGGUGCCUUACUUGGUUACGGAGCCGAAAGAAGGAUGGUUUGACAUAGUUUCUUGGAAUAAGAGUUGUAUGCCACAGAGUUAUAAUACCUCAUGCUCUGAUCCCAUAGAGUGGAAGGAAGAUGAGCAUGCUCACUAUCACAUGGGGGCUUCAAGCAACAAAGAAGCGACUGGAGUGACAUUCACAGAUUUGGAGGAGAAUGUGGCAAGGUCUCACCUCAACGAAAGCAAAAAGCAGCGAUCUUAUCCAACAUGUGCACAAGUUCUUCAACAGAGCCCAAAGUUCAAAUCUCUUUUUGAUCAGCUUUAGUACGGACAAUAGGCUAGGCAAGCGGUAGUAGAAGCACUCAUGCAGGUCUCAGCUGAUUUUGGGCCUCAAAGAUCUUCAGUUGAGUCAGCCAACAAUAGGGCAUUCAUGGAGGACCCUAAUAGUGUAAAUUCACAGAGGAAGACAUGGUGGCUCCUUACGUAGACCACCAAAGGCAAGCCUCAGGACCUUCCAAAUUUUCUCCAUCAUGGGAAGAUCCUUGUGAAGGAAGCUUAUCAAAGCGGAUACUACAUGCUUGUCUUACAAGAUGUUGUGAUAAUGGGUCCCAUUAACAGCAAAUGGCUCAAGCUUUUACCAUUCUUAGCUCAUCUAUUUUCCUCCCUUUCGUGGGAACCCUUUUGCACUUUUGUCCAAGCUUCCACACCUUUUGUUUGUGACCACAAUAGUGUAGCCAACCAAGGAAGCAUGACACUCGAACAAUGUUAUGAUUUAUCCUUAAAAAGAGUAUUCCUUUUGAAACCCAUACUCCCCUCACAAACUCCCGUUAUUUUUUUAUGCUCACACAAAUAGUUUGAUUAUGUGAUCUAACUUUUGCUCACAUAACCAAGGGGGGCUGACACAAAUGAUAAAGGUCAUAACGAUGGGAUCUCAAGCAUAAUUCGUCAAGCAACGCACAUGCAACCCAAAAAAGAAAAAAAAAUCACAAAUCAAGGUUACAAGACAAACAACAAAAAUCAAGCUAUGGCUUCAACCAUAAGAUAAAGUUGCAUGCCAAGCACCAAAGUCAAGUGAUGUCAUGACUUCAACAGUAAAAUAAAGUUAUGUGCCAAGCACCAUAGCAAAGUCAUAACUCCAAGCAGCACAACCAAACUUCGAGUCAAGCAAAUGGAGUAAUAAGCCCCCCUUAAGAUUACAAGCUCCUUAUUCUUCAUGAGCAUGCAUUUGCUCAAGGCUUACAAUCAAGCAAGCCAAGGAGGUCGGCUUUCCGUACGCUUGCCUGAUGUUGACUCAAAUAGUCAUAAGCUAAGUAAUGGAAAGAUAUUGAGAUAUCACCACGUGGGUCAUGCCAUAUGCAAUUAACAAAAUGAUUCCAUAUAUCUAUUCAAUGCGAUCAAUGGAUAGUGGAUACAAGCAAGUUAAUUUACUUACACAAUUACACAGGCUACCAAGGAGAUGUACCUAGACUAUCAAUCUCAAGCAAUAUGGAUCGACUUGAAAUGCCCGUAGCAACGGUAGCAUUGUCUAAUUUUGUGUUCCAAUAGCUCCUCUUAUUUGUCUAUACAUCUGGGGGCUUUACAAUGUCCUCCACCACUUUUGGAUAUGUUUUCCUCUUCCUACUUGGGACACUCGAAUUCUCAUUGUCAUAUGAUGAAUUCUCCCAUCCAUACAUCAUCACUUGACCUAAAGGAUAGUAAUCUUGAAUUACGGGUCCCAUGCUGGACGUACUUGCUAGAGUCACUCAAGACUCCAAACCAGUAAGUAUGAAAAGUUUUGGAUUUGUGCCCUACUCUUUUCUUACCUGCCAACGUUACAGAGGCAGUCUCAUCUAAAGCUUCCAAUUUCCCAUAGAAUAAGUCACUAGGCAUGCCACACUCUUCACUUUACUCUAUACCGCAUAAGAUUCCUUAAUCUAAGCCAAAUUGACGCUUUACUCAUUGGGAAAAAUAUGAUACGAAAGAGCUUUUGUAGAUGCCUAAUAAGGAACUCUAUUAGAACAUUCAAGCACAUAAGGUGACACGACCCACCCCAAAUUUCACCCUGAAACCCAGAGUAAGUCGUGCGGGGACCAACUCCAAGGAAAAUUUUACCGAAAAAUCGGCAUAACCUCCCUUGAAAAUGGACAACCCUUCCUAAUAAUACCUGCAAACACUUCUGAAAAUUUAAAUCCAACCUUAAACUCCUGGAGCCUCCGUGCUCCCCAAAUCACAACACCACCCAAAUUAUUUACUAAUCUAAACAAAUCUCAUAUCCAACCAUUUAUAGGUUCAGAGCAACUCUAACAGGAAGAAAGAAAACAUAAUAAAUUAACAAGCGGAAGCUAUAUGAUGACUAUACCUCAUCCCCAUGUACGCCCAACCUCAACUAUGCAAUCCUGCAAACUGGGCAUUUUUAAAACGAAGAGCCCAGGGGAAAACAUUUGAAACCGUUAGAGUGAGUGGACAAAAACAAAUUAACGAAUAAAAUAUUUAUGUUUCCCCAAAUCAAUUUCCAAGAAAAAUCGAAUGCAUGCUGCAAGCGAUAAAACUUUUAUCUCAUAAAUGUCGAGCCUCUCAAGCUCUAUAAUAAAUGUAUGUAUUUACACACGUUCAUACUCUCUAUAUAAAUUCAUGAGUCUAUAUAGGGCUACUACGCUCGCGUCCAACGCUCACGUCACGCCUUAAUGUGGUGUUACACUACGCCAUUAAGGUGGACAGACGGGUGUAUAAAUAUGUGCCCAUACCCCCUAUAUGAAUUAAACACUCAUAUAGGGCUACUACGCUCGCGUCCAACGCUCACGUCACACUAUAAUGCGGCUAUAUGUUACGCCAUUAAAGUGGACAGACACAUAUGGCUAGCUAGCAUUUUAUAUACAUACUCUCUCUCAUAAAUACAUAUUUAUAUCCACCGAAAAUCCCAUUUUCGGUAACUCUCCAAGAGAAAUAAGAUUGUCAAAAAUUAAAAUGACGUCAAAAUGCUCCAUGACGUUAAUUGUUCAUUCAUGAACCAUAGCAUGCAUAUUAUUUAAAACAAAAGUCCACUCACAACUCUAGGCAUAAGCCCGACGAAAUCCAAAUCGCCACUCCAGAGAGGUUUCCUCGAACCCUGGCACAAAUAUAAAAUUAAUUUCCCAACUAAAUCUCCAAUAUUUAAACAAAAUAGGCAAAAUUAACCGAGAGCCAUAACUACGCUCAUCAUUGCCUAACUUCUAUAUUCUUAAAUCGAAACGAUCCGAACUUAAAUAUCAUACUCAGCAGCCGUAAUUACAACCUCCCCAAAAAUACGACUUAAAUCCUACGGCCGGAUUCUACAUUAAUUAACCGCCAAAAAUACCACACUUUGGAAAUUCAUAAACCUAUCCAAAACUCAUCCAAAAAUUUCAUAACUCACUUCAACAAACUCCCCUUAAUAUUCUAAAUUUAAAACCCUAAAAAUCUUCCAAACAGUGGCGGCUCCGCCGGCAGCGGCGGCCGGAGGCCAAUUCUGGCGACCUCCGAUUCUUAUGAAAUUUUGACAGCAUCUUCCUCUCAUCAUGCUCUACAACUUUCCUAACUAGCACAAACCCAAAAUCCAAGCCUAACUAGGUCAAAUGAGCAAAAACAUCUAAAACACCCUAGAACUUCCACCUCUAAUUUCUCCUUACCUGAAGCAAACCGGAGUGAGCCCUUUUAGGGAAAGGUAGCUGGGUUGGAGACCUUCAAAACCGUACCAAGCUUGCUCAGAUUGGUGGCCAGAGGAGGGAGUUCCGGCGAAGUGAAGCUUUGGACAGUCGGACCUUUCGGGUGGCACCGCUCUCUCACGGCGGAGCUAGGGCUCCUCUCACCGGUCUAGGGAGGUUGUUGGGUUGGAGGUCGACCGAACGAGACCGGUGCGGCGGCGGUUGGUGGCCGGACGGCGGCGGGAGGACGGCCGGAAAACCGGGCAGCGGGAGGAGCUCGGGGAGAGAGAAAACCGGGAAGAAGAAAAAAAAAAAAGAGAAGGGAGAAAAUGGCUUUGGGCCUCCUCCCCCAAAACCGGUCCAACUUAAAACCCAUUUAAAACAAACCCAACUCCAAAAAUAAAACACCCCGAAAAAUAAUACCCGAAUAAAAAUUACCUUUUACUAGCUAAAAUUUACCAUUUUUACCGUCGUCAUAUUUUCCUCCUACGAAUAAUCCUCCGAGCAUAACCGUCCCCGAAACCCCUCUAGGGACCAAUUAAACUAAAACUUCAAUGAUAGAGACGGUAAAAUUCUUAUUAUAACCAAGCUAGCAAAUAAGGUAAAAAUUUACGGGUCGGGAUGUCACAUAAGGUCACUCACCACAUCACGCCAUACCAAAAUGUCAUCCGACACCAAGUUAGACACGAGUGUCUUAUCCAUGCUGUAAAGAGCAAGCCUAAGCCUCUCAAAAAUAUGCUCUUGGUAACAUGCUUCCUACCUCAAUUAACAUAUACCUGUUCUCUUUGGAUCCUACACAAAGUUUGAGGGGAGGAGACUGAAUUUUCUCUCCAUGCCAUGCCAUGCCAUGACACUUUUCUCAAAUUACACAUUUAGUCCCUCGACACUUUUCUUAAAUUACACCUUUAGUCCCUCUACAUUUUUCUCAAAUUACACGUUUAGUCCCUCGACACUUUUCUCAAAUUAUAAGAUUAGUCCCUCAACACUUUUCUCAAAUUACAGGAUUAGUCCCUCGACACUUUUCUCAAAUUACACGUUUAGUCUCUCGACAUUUUUCUUAAAUUACACGUUUAGUCCCUCGACACUUUUCUCAAAUUACAGGAUUAGUCCCUCGACACUUUUCUCAAAUUACACGUUUAGUCCCUCGAUACUUUUCUCAAAUUACACGAUUAGUCCCUCGACAGUUUUCUCAAAUUACACGUUUAGUCCCUCAAAACUUUUCUCAAAUUACACGUUUAGUCCCCUGACACUUUUCUUAAAUUACACGAUUAGUCUCUCGACACUUUUCUCAAAUUACACGUUUAGUCCCUCUACACUUUUCUCAAAUUACAUUUUUGGUCCUUAUCAUGGGUACUGACUUAUACCUUUUUAUAUGCACACAAGCUGCUACCUCAACAAACUAAGGCACGGCCGAGCACCAAGAUGCCAAGCACACAUUCAUGAUCUCGCAAUAAGCAAGCGACGCUGUCCACAAGCCAUGCACAAGUACUUCCAUGCAUUUCAUUUGAUCAUGUCACUUGUCUUACACGAGCAACAUAAUCAAGGGGGCUAAUGUUGAUACCCAAAAAUGUAAACCUGCUUUUUAGAGACUUAAGGUCAAUGAUCAGGCUUAGAGCUGAUAUGAGGCCUGGAUCCGAGUCGUUUGGUCUGCCUCGAGCGACUUGGGGCUUGGUACAAAAUCUCUAAGCCACGGCAUGACAUGUCCAAAUUAUAGAAGGAGGUCAUGAAAGCCAUGCCAAGCCUACACAAGGCCCAUUUGGGAGUCAAGCCAAGCCAAGUCAUGCCAUGCUCUUUUAUGCCCAAGCCUACUAUGAUAUGCUCGUUUAUGCCCAAGUCUACUAUGACAUGCCCAUUUAUGCCCAAGCCUAUCUAGGACGAGGGAGGCAAGCCCACGCCAUGACGUUUAUGCCCAAGCCAAUUAUGAUAUGCUCAUUUAUGCCUAAGCCUACUCUGACAUGCCCANNNNNNNNNNNNNNNNNNNNNNNNNNNNNNNNNNNNNNNNNNNNNNNNNNNNNNNNNNNNNNNNNNNNNNNNNNNNNNNNNNNNNNNNUAGGCAUGCAUGUAACGGAUACCUCAUCUCAUCAUAUCAUCACCCAAUGCCUUUAGACAUAGGAUGCCAACAUCACAAAUCACCUUAGACCAAGUCACCUCAGACCUGUCUCCACAACUUUCACCUUAUAAGCUUAAGGCAAACCCAAGGCCAUGUCUUGUUUGAACCCGUUAACCAAAAAUAGCUUGGUAAGAAAUCGAGAAAGUAUGCCUCAGAACCACUGCCACCUUUACGUUUGUUUAGCUUAAGGCUCGAACGAUGACAGUGAGAAAGGGUUCUGAUCUUUGCUAAAAUUAGAGUCACGGGUCACUUUUUACCCUCAGUCUUCAACCUCAAUUUUAUUUAAAGGAAGUUACAUACAGUGGGAUUGAGACACAACACACACAGGCAAAAACCACUACCAAGCUCCUCAUGCUUAACCGUCUCUAGACCACCAUCAUCAUACCUAUCCUUCCAGACACCUUAGAUCAUCACCACCAUACCCAUCCUUCCAAACACUCUUCAGACACCUCUAAACACCACCACCACCAUACUCUACAAUCCCUCACCCACAUUAGACCCUUUUCAUGAUGAGCAUGCAUUCUGUUACACUUGCAAGAUCCUAGCUCCCACACCCUACAUACUACUAAGUCCUCUCAAUAUUGAUAUUACACACGCUUGGAGCCUCCCCAUCACAACAAAGUCUAUCUUAUGAAGACUUUGGGCCUAGUCUCGUAACCUUAAAGGGGGAAGAUUGGAUCACCAAGCCCAACAACAGCAAGCUCUUAGAUCCUCGUUCAAUUUCUACCCCAACAAAUGUCAAAAUUUGAGUUGGGCUGAGGUUUAUUAACGAGUUUUUUCUUUUGUAUGGGAAAGAAAGAGGGACGAUCAGGAAAGAUGGAGGAUGAGAGAGAAGGUGUGAGUAAACAAAUAAAAGACAGUAUAGGUAGAACAUGUCAAAUUUGGCACUGAAUGGGUUCAUCCCAAAUCCACAUGUGUCCACCUGUACGUGUAUGACAUAUCUGUUGGAGAAGAGUUUGGCAUGUCAAUUAUACCCGUUGAGCCUCCCUGUGUCAUUUGACACUUCAUGUAUAACAAAAGAUAGAGCAUUUUUUUUGGGGUUUUUUGCAUCAACAGUGUCUAAACUCUUGCAUGACUGACAAUAUGAUACCCGACCUUACAAAGUUAUCAAAGAAGUACCCAGACUCAAUUUUUAGUAUCUAUGUCAUACCUACGGUUUAUUUCCGUCACGUCGCUGUUAACAGUAACCAUGUGUGAUGCACGUGGGUCCGAAAAAUGAGGGUAAAAAUGACUUUUUCACUCCAUCAACCUCUCAAAUGAAUAAAUUCGAUAAUAGAAACUUGAUGAAAACUUUUUCUUUACUUUGUUAUGUUGACCAAGGAUCCUGCUCCAAAUACAUUCCCAGAACAAAAACCAAACAAAAAAUAAAUAAAUCUUAACAUCCCCCCUAUCUCUAUUAACACCUAUCUGACCACGAAAGCCAAAGACAUUUAGAUCUUCUUCGUCAUUUAGAAUUUGGAUUUAGGUUCUUCAAAAACAAAUCAAAGGUAAUUCAAAUUACAUUUAUAUACCAACUAACUUUGCUAACAGGCAAUCUCUCGAAAUCCAUCACCAAAUCCAACCUAUUCAUGUACAUCUUAAACCCAGCAAAAACCCAAGAAAAAUAAACAACGAAAAAAAAUAAUAAUAAUAUCUAGCAAUCUUUCAAGUCUUGCACCCAUUUAUGUUCAACUUCUUAAACCCAGUAAACCAUUAUGAUACCAACUUUCUCUCUCAAGAGUUUCCAUCAACUGGUAAGAACUUGAACAACAACAAA
rnacentral:lncRNA from 1 species